UGGGGAAUAUUGCACAAUGGGCGGAAGCCUGAUGCAGCGACGCCGCGUGGGGGAUGAAGGCCUUCGGGUUGUAAACUCCUUUCGACAGGGACGAAGCGUAAGUGACGGUACCUGUAUAAGAAGCACCGGCUAACUACGUGCCAGCAGCCGCGGUAAUACGUAGGGUGCGAGCGUUGUCCGGAAUUACUGGGCGUAAAGAGCUCGUAGGUGGUUUGUCGCGUCGUCUGUGAAAUUCCGGGGCUUAACUCCGGGCGUGCAGGCGAUACGGGCUGACUUGAGUGCUGUAGGGGAGACUGGAAUUCCUGGUGUAGCGGUGAAAUGCGCAGAUAUCAGGAGGAACACCGAUGGCGAAGGCAGGUCUCUGGGCAGUAACUGACGCUGAGGAGCGAAAGCAUGGGUAGCGAACAGGAUUAGAUACCCUGGUAGUCCAUGCCGUAAACGGUGGGCGCUAGGUGUAGGGGGCUUCCACGUCUUCUGUGCCGUAGCUAACGCAUUAAGCGCCCCGCCUGGGGAGUACGGCCGCAAGGCUA
rnacentral:rRNA from 1 species